CCUUGGAGUAGGAAAUGCAACCCACUCCAGUAUUCUUGCCUAGAGAAUCCCCACAGACAGAGGAGCCCAGUGGGCUACAGUUCAUAGGGUUGCAAAGAUUCGGACGUGACUGAAGUGACUUAGUACACACGUAGCACUGUAACUGAAGCCUCAGCCCCGUGUGGACUAUGAGUUACUCCCGAUUACUCUGGUCUAAACUAUUUCAAGCGCGAAGCGAAGCGAGGGUAGAGCUGAUGUGAAGAAGGCGCUGAGCUCGCAUCUGUCGCCAAUUUACCUAAAUCAAGUGACUUCGGGGACUCAGGCGGGGUUUACAGAACAAUGAGAGGAUCUGGGCACCGAGUGUCUGUAGGAGCAGCUGGAGGCUGAUGUAUGGAGAAAGUGGGUCUGGUACUGUCUACGUCUGGAGCAUCGUUGCCCACCCUCAGGACCAGAAUGACAACAUCAGCCAAACUUCCAUCUUUCAAAACAGUUCAGAGAACUGAAGAUUGCCUUGCUUAUCAAGAGGAGCCAGAAAAAUGCAAUGGGAAAGAAAUUCUUGGAAUUAGGAUUUGCUUCAAAAUCCUGAAUGCUGGUGUUUGUUUGACAGGCUUAAAACUGGGCCUCUUCAGUUUAUCAGGAACCACAAUGGACUCCUUGAUCACUCCUCGCCACCUGCUAAGGCUCGCCACGGAGCGC